UACGGAGGGAGCUAGCGUUGUUCGGAAUUACUGGGAGUAAAGCGCGCGUAGGCGGCCCGGUAAGUCCGCUGUGAAAGUCAAAGGCUCAACCUUUGAAUGCCGGUGGAUACUGUCGGGCUAGAGUCCGGAAGAGGCGAGUGGAAUUCCUGGUGUAGCGGUGGAAUGCGCAGAUAUCAGGAGGAACACCAAUAGCGAAGGCAGCUCGCUGGGACGGUACUGACGCUAAGGCGCGAAAGCGUGGGGAGCGAACAGG
rnacentral:rRNA from 1 species